GUCCUGAUCUACUGCUUGCAGGGAGCAAACUUUAGUUGGGGCUUUCUUUGUCUGCACCUGUGGGUAUUUCCAGAUUGCUGGCUGCUUCCACCUGAAGUCUGAGAUAUGUAAAGUGAAAGAAAGCCCUGAGAACUCACCACUCUGUUGUUCUUCAGGUCCCAGGGUCCCUCAUCCAUCUGUCUUUUCUUUACCCUUCAGAAACUGUGUGUUUCCAAGAACAACGUCCAGCGUCUUUAGUUACACUCGGCAGGUGGAAUGAUGCCUCCGUUCCAACUUCCUGGACCUGGAGAUCACUGAGCUUUUUAUUUUAAUCAUCAUAUUUUUCAUCUUUAGAAAUUCUUUUUUAAAAAUCAUUUGUGCUUCUUGUUUACAGCUUUCUUCUUUUAUUUCUUUAAAAUAUCAAUCAUAAUAAACGUCUGCAUGUCUGCUUCUGUUGCUUUGCACUCACGUGAUUUAUUUUCUUACUUAGGAGACAGGUUGCUCUUUUCCCUCAACGCUACCCACGAACUUCUUUGAGAGAAUACUGUAUGCAGCCAGCACUAAAAUGACAGAGUCCUCACGCACCAUUAAUUUAGGCUCAUCGUUGGCAAAGAGAAGAGCUCUCAGGGCAAACAGUCCUGGAAGGAAGAAGGCAGAGUCCAUGGCUUCUUCCACCUGGUGCACAUCCUGCCAGCCUGAGCAGAGCCGGUGGAAGGAGGAGAAGGACCAAGUACGUCCCGGAAGAGGAAUUAUUUUAUGUUGUUAAUGGAAUGUUCUUUUUUUGUGUUUGUUUUGUUAUUUGAAAUUUUCUUUAGUAAUUUUCCAGGCUCGGUAUAUUUCUCUGUUUCACUGUUUUUCCUCUGUGCGUAGAUUACAUGUUUUCAAUAGCAUCUGCUGUGAAUUUUAAUUACGAUGCUUUGCUCAAAGGGGGGC
rnacentral:lncRNA from 1 species